UACGAAGGGGGCUAGCGUUGUUCGGAAUUACUGGGCGUAAAGCGUGCGCAGGCGGCUUCUCAAGUCAGGGGUGAAAGCCCAGAGCUUAACUCUGGAAUUGCCUUUGAGACUGAGAGGCUUGAGUACGGGAGAGGUGAGUGGAAUUCCCAGUGUAGAGGUGAAAUUCGUAGAUAUUGGGAAGAACACCGGUGGCGAAGGCGGCUCACUGGCCCGUAACUGACGCUCAUGCACGACAGCGUGGGGAUCAAACAGG
rnacentral:rRNA from 1 species